rnacentral:lncRNA from 7 species
ACGCGAAAAGCCCGCGGCCGGCGGACACAUCCGCGGGAGGCUUCGCCUCUCCGCUUUGCACCGGGAGGAAGGAGCCGGAAUGCUCCGCGCCCGCGGACCAGCUACAUGUGGUGACCAUAUAGGAUCAGAAAUAAUGUGGCCUUUCUGGUUUUGAAGAACUGCUAAUGUCAUUAAAGGUCUUCCUAACACGCCAGCUAGGAGUUCAAAAAGCCUCGCCUUUUAUCCCGGGCAUAUAUUUGGUUGUUUAUAAAGUGCAGACUUCCUUAUGCUUCAAGUGCAUCAGGAGGAUUUCUUAACUCUGCAGAAGGAUCUGUUUUCAACUAUAUUCUUCUCUGGAAAUUGGACUGUUUAACCAGUGUCUUUCACACUUCUUUUCUGGCUGCUAUUUUUAUACAUUCAACCGCAGAAGAAAUUCCCGCACACAGAAGCAAACAAAGAAUUCUCCCUUCUGCUUUGUAUUACAGAAAAAUAUCUGCGCAGGCCACUAAUUGUCCAUUAGUGCUAAUAAGUGGCUAAAACAAUAUUAGGAGAUAACCCGAGCAACCUGUCUUCUUUAUUUUAAUUUGCCGCACUGAAGUCGGGAAGGUUUUGACGAAGAGCCGACCAGACGUGUCCGUGGAAUCUGUGUACUAAACUUUUGGACUGUUGAUUUUGAGGGUCACUUAUCUAAGCUAAGUUCAAAGUGUCACCUGCUUUAAUCCCUUCUCUGUCGUGCUCGGAGAGACUCCACACGGCACACGGUCUGCUUCGCAGAGCGCCUGGAAAAAUGUCUGUCUCCAUUCUCCCCCCCCAAGCUUCUCCCUCCCAAACGCAUUAGGAAUUUCUCCCCUCGAUUCUAGCGACUGUUAGGAAAAACUCAUUUGAAUUCCAUUAUUAAUAUUUUCCGGGCAUGCUCUUUUAGUGUGUCAUUUGUAAUGUAUUAGGAAGAAUUAUAUGUCUUAG